rnacentral:rRNA from 1 species
GAUGAACGCUGGCGGCGUGCCUAAUACAUGCAAGUCGAGCGAAUGGAUUAAGAGCUUGCUCUUAUGAAGUUAGCGGCGGACGGGUGAGUAACACGUGGGUAACCUGCCCAUAAGACUGGGAUAACUCCGGGAAACCGGGGCUAAUACCGGAUAACAUUUUGAACCGCAUGGUUCGAAAUUGAAAGGCGGCUUCGGCUGUCACUUAUGGAUGGACCCGCGUCGCAUUAGCCAGUUGGUGAGGUAACGGCUCACCAAGGCAACGAUGCGUAGCCGGCCUGAGAGGGUGGACGGCCACGCUGGGACUGGGACACGGCCCAGACUCCCACGGGAGGCAGCAGUAGGGAAUCUUCCGCAAUGGACGAAAGUCUGACGGGGCAACGCCGCGUGAGUGAUGAAGGCUUUCGGGUCGUAAAACUAUGUUGUUAGGGAAGAACAAGUGCUAGUUGAAUAAGCUGGCACCUUGACGGUACCUAACCAGAAAGCCACGGCUAACUACGUGCCAGCAGCCGCCGUAA